UCGCUUCGGCAGCACGCAUACUAAAACUGGAACGACACAGAGAAGAUUAGCAUGUCCCCUGUGCAAGGAUGACACUCAAAUUCGUGAAACCUUCCGUAUUUAA
rnacentral:snRNA from 1 species